rnacentral:rRNA from 1 species
GUCCACGCCGUAAACGAUGAGCACUAGGUGUCGCGGGUAUUGACCCCUGCGGUGCCGACGCUAACGCAUUAAGUGCUCCGCCUGGGGAAUACGGCCGCAAGGUUAAAACUCAAAGGAAUUGACGGGGCCCGCACAAGCGGUGGAGCAUGUGGUUCAAUUCGACGCAACGCGAAGAACCUUACCUGGGGCUAGACAACGGAGGCCCGCCCCAGAGAUGGGGUUUUCCCUUCGGGGACUUCCGGUUCAGGUGCUGCAUGGCUGUCGU